rnacentral:rRNA from 1 species
AUUGAACGCUGGCGGCAGGCCUAACACAUGCAAGUCGAGCGAGCGGCGGACGGGUGAGUAAUGUCUGGGAAACUGCCUGAUGGAGGGGGAUCACUACUGGAAACGGUAGCUACUACCGCAUACCCUCAGAUGUGCCCAGAUGGGAUUAGCUGGUAGGUGGGGUAACGGCUCACCUAGGCCGCGAGCCCUAGCUGGUCUGAGAGGAUGACCAGCCACACUGGAACUGAGACAGGGUCCAGACUCCUACGGGAGGCAGCAGUGGGGAAUAUUGCACAAUGGGCGCAAGCCUGAUGCAGCCAUGCCGCGUGUAUGAAGAAGGCCUUCGGGUUGUAAAGCACUUUCAGCGAGGAGGCGUUACUCGCAGAAGAAGCACCGGCUAACUCCGUGCCAGCAGCCGCGGUAAUUC